rnacentral:rRNA from 1 species
CGUUCCUACGGGGCGCAGCAGUGGGGGAUAUUGCACAAUGGGGGGAACCCUGAUGCAGCGACGCCGCGUGGGUGAAGGAGCGUUUCGGCGCGUAAAGCCCUAUCGGCAGGGAAGAAGAUGACGGUACCUGACCAAGAAGCCCCGGCUAACUACGUGCCAGCAGCCGCGGUAAUACGUAGGGGGCAAGCGUUAUCCGGAUUUACUGGGUGUAAAGGGAGCGCAGGCGGUGCGGC